GGAGGAACACAAGGAGCAGGGAGACAGAAAGGCAGGGGAAGCCAUGAUGGAUCUCACAGAGACACAAACAAGGGGGCCAAGCCUGCACCGUAACCGCCCGGACUCGGGGUUUGUCGGCAGCUUUUUGGGGAAAUGGACCGAACAGUGGCUUUGGACGCCGAAGUGGUGGGCAUGUCAAACUCCACGUCCACAUAGCGGAUGAAACUGGAAGGCACUUCCCGGUCAGAGCCAAGCUCCAGGUGGCAAAAGAAGCAGUGGGGAUGGCCGGAAGCUGAGAAGAGAGAGAAAAUGAAACUUAAAACUGUUGUGAAGAUUAACAAGGGCAACACCUAGGAAGAAGCAUCUUAAAACAGGGGUAAACAGAGCAUCUGCCUGAGUGAUGAAGAUGCACACUGAGAAGCUAAAAAGGAACGCGGAAGGUUGAGUUUGGGAAGUAAGAGUGGAAAGAAGCCUGAAAGCCCUCCACAUGGAGCAGAAUGGGAGUACCAUACAUGAUGGGCUUACAGAAUUGUGCCUUGGAAGACCAGCAGUUGAGACAACUACCCAAACAAUGAGCACACCCAGAGUUUAUUCCAAAACAUGCAACCCCCUGAGCCUGCAAAGCAAGGCAGUGUAUCUUCAAUGAUAGUACUAACUCUUAGCACUGACAGGGUGAAAUUCACCCCUGUGCAGAGAGCCAGCACUAGACAACGCCUAAGCGCCUCUGAGUCCCACUUCAGCCCUCAAAAUAGAGCUCAAAAUGGGAUUUAUAGGCCCUGUGCAAGUCCGUCUUCAGAGGGGUGAAUUCCAUCCACAGAGCAUUUGGUAUUUUCAAAGCACAGCACAAACACUACUCAACCAUGUACAACGGCUUCCUAAUGAAGUUUAAGGUAAAUGCUGCUUCUAGUCAGGCCAGAAAUAACAAUUAUUAUUAUUAAUAAAUAAUAAUAAUAUUUUAUAUUGCUUCAGCCAGGUUGGGGUCCCAUUGUGCUAAGGACUGUAUAAACGUACAGUAAAUACUGCACAAACAGGUUCUUCAGAAUGCAUUGGUGUUCCCAUCUUCAGUUGGACGGGGGUGUGCAGAGACAAAAAACAAUGAAGAACAAGGGCAUUAAUUGAACUUUUACAGACUUCAAAUAUGCCUUGAUGGAAGUUUUGGGUCAAGGUUCAAGGAUCCUAAUGGGGUUCAAGGAUCCAGAAUGGCUUUGCUCUUCCAUAAUGGAAAAGCAACUGGAAGCAGGUUUCCAAGAAAAUUCCAGUUGUCUAUGUCCUGAGCAAGUUUUAAGGGCUGUGCCUUCUCCAUGUAUAUUAAAUCAAGAGCCUAUCAAAGGACAUGCUUCAGGAGGAGGAGGAAAAGGUUUAAUUUAAAAGAGCACAAAGAACCCUCCCCCAAAAUGUUAAAAUAAUAUGGUACUGAUUUGUUCCUUGUGUUGCAAAGAAAAGGAGACUAUGACUUUAUUUUUUCCAAUAAAUGGACCUUAAAUAAAUAAAUA